rnacentral:rRNA from 1 species
GAUGAACGCUGGCGGCGUGCCUAAUACAUGCAAGUAGAACGCUGAAGGAAGGAGCUUGCUCUUUCCGGAUGAGUUGCGAACGGGUGAGUAACGCGUAGGUAACCUGCCUGGUAGCGGGGGAUAACUAUUGGAAACGAUAGCUAAUACCGCAUAACAGUAGAUGUUGCAUGAUAUCUACUUAAAAGGUGCAAUUGCACCACUACCAGAUGGACCUGCGUUGUAUUAGCUAGUUGGUGAGGUAACGGCUCACCAAGGCGACGAUACAUAGCCGACCUGAGAGGGUGAUCGGCCACGCUGGGACGGGGACACGGCCCAGACUCCUACGGGAGGCAGCAGUAGGGAAUCUUCGGCAAUGGACGGAAGUCUGACCGAGCAACGCCGCGUGAGUGAAGAAGGUUUUCGGAUCGUAAAGCUCUGUUGUAAGAGAAGAACGAGUGUGAGAGUGGAAAGUUCACACUGUGACGGUAUCUUACCAGAAAGGGACGGCUAACUACGUG